CCAAAGGCUCUUUUCAGAGCCACUUAACGUUCUCACUGAGGAUAGCU
rfam:Pongo abelii chromosome 6.